rnacentral:rRNA from 1 species
UAGUUCAUUGACAUCCUUUGACCGCUCUAGAGUAGAGUCUUCCCCUUCGGGGGACAAAGUGACAGGUGGUGCAUGGUUGUCCUCCUCUCGUGUCGAGAGAUGUUGGGUUAACCCCCGCAACGAGCGCCCCCCUUAACUUUAUUUGCCAUCUUUAAUUUGGGCACUCUAAUUUGACUGCCGGUGACAAACCGGAGGAAGGUGGGGAUGACGUCAAAUCAUCAUGCCCCUUAUGAUUUGGGCUACACACGUGCUACAAUGGACAAUACAAAGGGCAGCUAAACCGCGAGGUCAAGCAAAUCCCAUAAAGUUGUUCUCAGUUCGGAUUGUAGUCUGCCUCUCCACUACAUGAACCUGGAAUCGCUAGUAAUCGUAUAUCAACAUGCUACGGAGAAUACUUUCCCGGGUCUUGUACACCCAGA